rnacentral:rRNA from 1 species
UGGCGGCGGCCUAACACAUGCAAGUCGAGCGGUAGAGAGAAGCUUGCUUCUCUUGAGAGCGGCGGACGGGUGAGUAAUGCCUAGGAAUCUGCCUGGUAGUGGGGGAUAACGUUCGGAAACGGACGCUAAUACCGCAUACGUCCUACGGGAGAAAGCAGGGGACCUUCGGGCCUUGCGCUAUCAGAUGAGCCUAGGUCGGAUUAGCUAGUUGGUGAGGUAAUGGCUCACCAAGGCGACGAUCCGUAACUGGUCUGAGAGGAUGAUCAGUCACACUGGAACUGAGACACGGUCCAGACUCCUACGGGAGGCAGCAGUGGGGAAUAUUGGACAAUGGGCGAAAGCCUGAUCCAGCCAUGCCGCGUGUGUGAAGAAGGUCUUCGGAUUGUAAAGCACUUUAAGUUGGGAGGAAGGGUUGUAGAUUAAUACUCUGCAAUUUUGACGUUACCGACAGAAUAAGCACCGGCUAACUCUGUGCCAGCAGCCGCGGUAAUACAGAGGGUGCAAGCGUUAAUCGGAAUUACUGGGCGUAAAGCGCGCGUAGGUGUUUUGUUAAGUUGGAUGUGAAAUCCCCGGGCUCAACCUGGGAACUGCAUUCAAAACUGACUGACUAGAGUAUGGUAGAGGGUGGUGGAAUUUCCUGUGUAGCGGUGAAAUGCGUAGAUAUAGGAAGGAACACCACUGGCGAAGGCGACCACCUGGACUAAUACUGACACUGAGGUGCGUAAG